GGAUUGCUUUUCUCUUUAUAAAAUUACAUGGGAGAAAUACUUUUUGUUGAUAAUGUUACUCAAAAUUUGAUUGGUGGUGAACACAUUUAGAAAUUACUAACUGCGUUUGUCAGGUUUACAGUGUUAAAUUCGUGAGGUGUAGAUGCAACGUUAGCCUGCGUAAAAGCUUCUAAUGCGGGUUCGAUGUCCUGAAAUAAGAUCCUCUCUCCUUCAUUCCCGCCGAGGCCUGGUUUUACUACGAGUCUGAAGCAGCCACAUUUGGGCGGUUUUCUACUCGGAGGAGAGAAUUCAUCAAAUGACUUCUGCAAUGUCAAGUGAAGGAAGCUCCUCCCAUAAGAUUGCAAACCUGGAGUCUGUUGAUCGUGAGUGAUGGAAGCCCUUCAAGAAAGGAGCAGAAUGCUGAAGAUGAAGCCAGAAUUGUGAGUCUGUGUCAUUCAUAUGUUAUUCUGUGUACAGUAAAAAUUUUAAACACACAAACGAAUAUGAAAAAUUAAAAUUUAACUGGGCAGCCACACAAUAUCUGCUUGUGCUCACACCUGGAAUUUACUAAUUAUUAAUUUAAGAUAUCAAAACACAUAAAGCCCAAAAAUGAAAACUUGUCGUUAUUUCUCACUCUCUGUCAUUCCCAACCUGCAAGACUUUCAUUCAUUUUCAAAACACAAACGAAGAUAUUUUAAAUGAAACCUGAGAGAUUUCUGUCCUUCCAUCGACAGUCUACACAACUACCACUUUGAUGCUUCAAGAAGUUCAUAAAGAGAUCAUAAGUAAUCCAAAUGAAUCGAGCGGUUUAGUCACAAUUUGAUGAUUUUAUGUGUUUUAUUAACUGUUAUGUUUCCGUGCAACACUUAAUGAAUGUGACUGACUAAUUAACCUCUACACAUCUGGUAUGUGCCACU